ACACCCUUUUGGUAGCUGUCCCAACGCUCUUAACCGCUAGGUUACCUGCCAAACCACUAAGUGCUGAGAUGAGCCACAAAGGUGUUUUAAUGCUGCCCCAAAACGCCAGGUUGGAAAGUAAGUCAAUUAAGUUCUGAGAAUGUAUAUAAAAAGUUAGAUGUGAUUUAUACUGUUUAUGUUUCAAUGACCUUUCAUUACUGAACACAUUUCAGCCUUUUUUUGGUCCAUUUGUUGUAUCUUUCCAUCCCUUCAGUAUUUCAGUGAGUAAACAGUAGCAGUUUCACACAAACACAAAUGUGGUGACAACCAUACAAACACUUGCAUUUGUGAAAUAAGUAACAAGGCCACUGAAAUACAGCAUUAGCGACUUUAUUUAGAUAUUUGUUGUUGUUGUUGCAUAGGAAAUGCAUGUCUUGAUUCCAGUAAUUGAUUCUGCGUGGACAUGAUGGUUUCACUAAUGGAAAUGAGAAGGAUGAUUUUACACCAGUAAUAAAAAAACAACAGUAAAAAGGAAAAUGAAAAAAAAACAACGGUCACACAAGGUGUUCGGACAACCGACAGGUAACAACAACUCACAUCAUAACAGAAGAUACAAUGGCAGUCAACAAACAAUGGCGCUAGUAACAUCCAACAAACAAUAGGUGCUCAAUGGUUCACUGUUCUGUUCCAUAAAAGUAUAGUAGAGGCACAAGGUAUUAGUCAGUUUCACUUAUCUGUUGAAUACUAAAAUGUUUGAUUGUGAUUUAUGAGGACCGAAUGGAAUGGUGGUUUGUGAGGACUCGCGGAGGCAGUGACGGGGAUGCUGGGAUAUGAAGUCUUGGUGAUGUGGAUGUGGGACUCAGACUGCACCAGGAGUUCAUUGAUCUCCUCCCUCUGUCACUCAGGUUCACUCAAGCUGACCUUUGUCAAGAUUGUCUUCGUUAGUUUGACCAUGGUGGAGAUUUGAGACUCAAGGCUGGGGGAAGUUGCGGUAUUCCCUAACGCACCAUAUGAACAGGUGUCUACAAUAGUUCCACUCCUGGUUUGAUGUAAAAAGGUUCAAGACUAGUCUACUAAAGUCCACUUGUAAUAUGAAGGAAAGUGACGUCAGAUUGAAAUAGCCUACUGCUUAAAUGUUGGUUUCAAAGAGGGCUGCUUCCCACGUUGACCAGCUGACCAGUUUGGAACAUAGGGAGUUAAGAUGUUGGGAAGUCUAUCCCUGGGUGAGCCAAUUGAGCUAACAGGAUUGGGGAUUAGCAUUGUUUAACCGAGAGUCUCUUAGGUGUGCAUAGCUGUCUUUCUGGAACUUUCCCAUCCACCUUCGCACUGAUUUGCCUCUCUUUUGAAGUGCUUCCCUAAGAGCAGGCCUCUCAGAAAGCCCACCUUCGGGCCUCUCGGCGGCUCAAUGAGGGAUUCUGUCCUCAAUAGUGCUGAACGGAGCAGAAAUGACUGCAGCCAUUGAUUCCUCCCCCUUAACAAAGGGCGUGUGAGGGAGAUUCACGCUGGAGCUGCAGUGCUUCUCAUGGUUCUCAUCAAUGGUACUCCUGUACUUGAGAAGAGUAGGGAGUUCUGGAGUUCUGUGUCCCCCCCAGUAGAGAGAGAGAGCUUAGUCCUGAUGGUCAGUCGGUGCAGAUUGUCUAAGGAGUGCGGGAGGGGAGGGGGGG
rnacentral:lncRNA from 13 species